ACAAACUUGGUCAUUUAGAGGAAGUAAAAGUCGUAACAAGGUUUCCGUAGGUGAACCUGCGGAAGGAUCAUUAUUGAGAUAACAAAAGGUUUAUUGAGGUGUUGGAUCAUUAUGCUGCUGGUUUUCCUUUUCUAAGGAAAGCAUGUGCACUAGUUCCUCACUGAUAGAAGCCGAUUUUAUUAUCCAUCCACCUGUGCACCUUUUGUGAAAGUUUUUCAUAGUUGACUUUGUAUUUGUUGCGAGCUGUAAAAGGCUUGUAGUGAGGCAAGUUAACACUUGAAAGGCUUUUAUGUUCUUUAUAAACCAUUUAAAGUAUGUUUAGAAUGUUGUUGUAUUUUGGGGGCUGGCUUUGCCUUACCCUUCAAAUUAUUAUAAUACAACUUUCAGCAAUGGAUCUCUUGGCUCUCCCAUCGAUGAAGAACGCAGC
rnacentral:misc_RNA from 1 species